GAAUAAAGACAAUGCCAUCUUCACAGGACUAAAUCCUGAUAUGCAGGCUUAAUAUUUUUGCAAACAAAAUGCAAAAGCACCUUUUAACUGAGUCAUCAGUACACAACUGCUUAAUUAAAAUAAUUAGGGGAUCUCAAUAUGAUUCAUUACUUUUUGUUUUAAUCAUAUGUGGGAGGUAGAAAAUUGCAUCUAAACAUUUUGGUCAGAUAAAAGGUCUUUGUGGCUCUCCCGUGAAGGAGGAACACACCUCCAGGUGUUUCAUGAAGAGAGUGAUAUACAAUCACCAGUACAAAGGAUGAUACAAAAUGUUCCCAUUUAGUCAGUGAAAGAGUAUCUAAAGUAAGGCUUGAAAUUAAUAAAUGUAUGAAUAGAUUAAUUAAAUAAAUGCAAUGGCAAAAGCAACUUAUUUUAGAACUAAAUUAUUAUGAGACAAAUAUGCAUGUCAUUUUUAUUUAAAGUUCCUUAUUUCCUUUAAUUAUAAAUACUACAGAAUCUCUUGGCAUUUACACUUACAUGAAUAAGUGUUUAAGUAGAUAAAACUUCCAUAAAUAUAACAAAUGUUUCUAUAAAUGCAACUGCAUCCUGAUGAAGAAUAAUUAUUUUUCUGUUUUCUCAAGUCUAUCAGCAAUAGAUACUUGAAUAAAUGUGAGACAGCCUCAUUCUAAUAAAUGACUGUACAACAUGCAACCAGGGAGAUGGAAAGGAGAACAGGGAUUAUUUAUCAUUGGCAUUGAUCCAGCUGUUUGCAAGAAAAUAAUUCUUGAAAGCCACCUGAGACAUGGGACAGAGCUGCCCCCAUAACUUGCUGGAGCUUGAUGCUAAUGAUAGAUGGGCCAGCACCUCUUUCAGUGACAGUGAUAAAACAGUGAUGGGCCUUCCAGUGAUCGCAUAUCUGGAUGUAAAAAGAGGUCCAAUCUGCCUAUGGCACUGUUUUCAGUGUCCCAUCAGCAGUGAAAAUUCCCACCCACCUAAUGCCAAAGCUGACCUUCAGCCACUUUAGCUUUCAUAUCUUCCACUGGAGUUGGUGCUCUGUGCUUCUGCUACAGUCAGUGGAGGGAAGUGCUUUUAGUUGUUGGUUGACCUAUUUUAGGCAUCAACUUUAAGUCUGAAACCUUAAGUUUAAAACAAAGCAUGUUUUUAAGGG